UGCCCAAUGUGGGAAUCAAACCCAGGUCUUAGCGGUCGAAAACCAACGGUUUAUACCAUCAUUUCACUGACCCCCACCAGGC
rnacentral:tRNA from 1 species